GAUGAACGCUGGCGGCGUGCCUAAUACAUGCAAGUCGAGCGAACGGACGAGAAGCUUGCUUCUCUGAUGUUAGCGGCGGACGGGUGAGUAACACGUGGAUAACCUUCCUAUAAGACUGGGAUAACUUCGGGAAACCGGAGCUAAUACCGGAUGAUAUUUUGAACCGCAUGGUUCAAAAGUGAAAGACGGUCUUGCUGUCACUUAUAGAUGGAUCCGCGCUGCAUUAGCUAGUUGGUAAUGUAACGGCUUACCAAGGCAACGAUGCAUAGCCGACCUGAGAGGGUGAUCGGCCACACUGGAACUGAGACACGGUCCAGACUCCUACGGGAGGCAGCAGUAGGGAAUCUUCCGCAAUGGGCGAAAGCCUGACGGAGCAACGCCGCGUGAGUGAUGAAGGUCUUCGGAUCGUAAAACUCUGUUAUUAGGGAAGAACAUAUGUGUAAGUAACUGUGCACAUCUUGACGGUACCUAAUCAGAAAGCCACGGCUAACUACGUG
rnacentral:rRNA from 1 species